rnacentral:lncRNA from 1 species
UGCAGCGCCCUCUCCUCUCAGGGCAGCUCCCCACGCAUGGCUUUCACCCACCACCCGCUGCCUGUGCUUGCUGGAGUCAGACCAGGUGAGAGAUGGGGGCGGGACUUAAGGGGACACUGCGGGAGGCAGCCACAGCAAGGGGCAGCUGGCAAGGUACAAGAGGGGGCCAGGGAGCACUUUGAGUUACAGAUCUGGCCUCCCCAAAGUGGGUCGGGUCACAGCAGUGGGGAGGUAUGGGAUGGGCAGUGUACCUCUGAGAACCAGGCUUGCCCACUGGGUGGGUUCCUAGAAUCCCUCCCACGUGCUAACUCUGGCUGUGUAAGUCUAUGUUGGGUGCAUGUUUUGCACAUGCUCACUGGGAGCUGCAUGCAGCCUC